GACGAACGCUGGCGGCGUGCUUAACACAUGCAAGUCGAACGAUGAUCUCCCGCUUGCGGGGGUGAUUAGUGGCGAACGGGUGAGUAAUACGUGAGUAACCUGCCCUUGACUCUGGGAUAAGCCUGGGAAACCGGGUCUAAUACUGGAUACUACUUCCUGCCGCAUGGUGGGGGGUGGAAAGGGUUUUACUGGUUUUGGAUGGGCUCACGGCCUAUCAGCUUGUUGGUGGGGUAAUGGCUCACCAAGGCGACGACGGGUAGCCGGCCUGAGAGGGUGACCGGCCACACUGGGACUGAGAGACGGCCCAGGCUCCUACGGGAGGCAGCAGUGGGGAAUAUUGCACAAUGGGCGGAGGCCUGAUGCAGCGACGCCGCGUGAGGGAUGACGGCCUUCGGGUUGUAAACCUCUUUCAGCAGGGAAGAAGCCACAAGUGACGGUACCUGCAGAAGAAGCGCCGGCUAACUACGUG
rnacentral:rRNA from 1 species